UACCAUAACCAAGAUGUCCAUUUUGCUACCUUGUAUAUUUGAUCCUAGUUAAUUUCUUCUUGAUCACCUUUUUUUUCAGUUUGCUGCUUGUUUUAUUGUACAUAAGUAUAUACACUAAAAUAUUUACAUCUCUUUUUUAGAACAAGGCGUGUUUUCAUAGAUUUGGUCUGCGUAAGUCUAUAGAUUUAUAUUGGACGAAGAGAUAAUGCUGCUUUUGGGAUGCCUCUAAACAUUAAAGGAAUCUCCUCCACAAUUUCGUCAAUCUUUGCCAAGGUUGAGGAAUGUCAAGCAGCUUAUAUGAGCAAACAGUAGUUGGAAAAUGGUCCAACACUGAACAAGUUCCUUUUGAUGCAGGGCCAGAGGCGUUUGUUCAGGUGCUCUCUAGUCCAUGAUAUCAUAUGCAAAGCAAGGCAUUUGUGCACCCCACUCAAGUGACCUAAGCUAAAGUUUUUCUUUCAGGUAUUCAAAGCAUUUCAUUUCUUUACAACAAUCAUGCCUUCAUCCCAAUCAGUUUUUGUCUCAACUCGUAGCUGCCCUUUGCCUUAUUUUAUUUCUACCCUCUCUCUCUCUCUCCCUCCUAAUUUUGCGGAGAAAGAAAGUUUUGAACAAAUAAUACUAACAUAUCAUGCUAUGGCCUAUGGUGUCAGUCAUUCACCAUAUAUAUCACUCGUGUAUAUUAGUAUAUGGUAGUUUCCUGUGUCUAGGACUAGAGUAUUCUAACAUUACUAUAUAUCAAUAUAUUAUUUAGGUAAAUUAAUAGUUACAUAUUCGUUCUAUUUGCUUCCAUCUCAUGGUGUGUAUCAUAGUACUAGUACGAAAUACCAAUCCUGUAUUAUGUGUGUUAUUUGUUUAACUUA